AGAGUUUGAUCCUGGCUCAGGACGAACGCUGGCGGCGUGCCUAAUACAUGCAAGUCGAGCGGACCAAACAGGAGCUUGCUCUUGUUUGGUUAGCGGCGGACGGGUGAGUAACACGUGGGUAACCUGCCCGUAAGACCGGGAUAACUCCGGGAAACCGGAGCUAAUACCGGAUAACACCGAAGACCGCAUGGUCUUUGGUUGAAAGGCGGCUUCGGCUGCCACUUACGGAUGGGCCCGCGGCGCAUUAGCUAGUUGGUGAGGUAACGGCUCACCAAGGCGACGAUGCGUAGCCGGCCUGAGAGGGUGACCGGCCACACUGGGACUGAGACACGGCCCAGACUCCUACGGGAGGCAGCAGUAGGGAAUCUUCCGCAAUGGACGAAAGUCUGACGGAGCGACGCCGCGUGAGCGAAGAAGGUCUUCGGAUCGUAAAGCUCUGUUGUUAGGGAAGAAGAAGCGCCGUUCGAAGAGGGCGGCGCGGUGACGGUACCUAACGAGAAAGCCCCGGCUAACUACGUGCCAGCAGCCGCGGUAAU
rnacentral:rRNA from 1 species